CCGUCCGGGCUGUAGCCGCGCGGGGGAAAUGGCCGCAGCCGCCGCUCCGUCCCUCAGCGCCAUCGCCAACGACACUCCGAGCCAGGCGGCGGUGGCAGCAGCCCCAGGGGGGACCGGCAAGAGCUGCCGCUCGGAGGCCAAGUGCGGCGGCGCUGGUAGCGCGGGCGGUAGUAGUAGCCGUUCCCAGGCCGUCCUGAGGCAGCAGCAGCUCCGGCAGCGGCGGGACGAGGAGGAGAGUGAGCCCGAGGCCGGCGGCCCGCAAGCUUCAGGCUCCCCGACUGGACACAGGGCCACUGGAGCUUCCAACUCCGGGCUGUCCCGCAACCUUCCCCAGCAGCACCAACAAGCGGCCAAAGGCAGCAGCGGGGGCCUCAGGGGCGGCCAGCAGCAGCAGCAGCAACGGGGCCGGGAGGAGGCGGCGGCCGCCGCUGUGGCGUCUGGUAACAGGAGGCAGAGUCUGGAGAACUCGUCAGACGGAGAACCGCUGAGCCGCAUGGACUCGGAGGACAGUAUCAGCAGCACCUUAAUGGAUAUGGACAGUACUAUCUCCAGUGGACGCUCUACUCCUGCGCUGAUAAAUGGUCACGGAAGUACUACUUCAUCGGGAAAGAAUAUCACUUACAACUGCUGCUGGGACCAAUGCCAUACCAGUUUCAGCUCCAGUCCAGAUUUGGCAGAUCACAUCCGUUCAAUACAUGUGGAUGGGCAACGUGGAGGGGUAUUUGUCUGUCUGUGGAAAGGGUGCAAAGUAUACAAUACACCAUCUACUAGUCAGAGCUGGCUGCAGAGGCACAUGCUUACACACAGUGGAGACAAACCCUUUAAGUGUGUCGUUGGUGGGUGUACUGCCAGCUUUGCAUCACAGGGUGGCCUUGCUCGUCACGUACCUACACACUUCAGCCAACAGAACUCUGCAAAAGUCACUAGUCAGCCGAAGGUUAAGGAGGAGUCACCUUCUAAAGCAGUUAUGAACAAACGGAGAAGACUAAAGAAUAAACGACGACGUUCACUACCAAGACCGCAUGACUUUUUUGACGCACAAACAAUGGAUGCAAUACGACAUCGGGCCAUCUGCUUUAACCUGUCGACUCAUAUUGAAAGCCAUGGAAAUGGGCAUAGUGUUGUGUUCCAUAGCACAGUAAUAGCACGAAGGAGGGAGGAUUCUGGGAAGGUGAAAGUGCUGCUUCACUGGACACCAGAAGAUAUUCUGCCUGAUGUGUGGGUGAAUGAAAAUGACAGAUCUCAACUGAGGACAAAAGCAGUUCAUUUGUCUAAACUACCACAAGAUGCUGCUUUGCUCCUUGAUCCAAACAUAUACCGGCCGACUGGCUCCUUACAACAUUAUGAACAUGGCUCCAUGGUUGACACAUGACAACUAAACUUCACUUAAGUCUAGAAGAAGCAGCACAGUUACAGACAUAAUUCCUGGAAAAUCAGGAUUAAUGUUGCAUCAUUUUUACAUAAGGACAAUGCCACAGAAAAGGCUGAAAAGGAGGUAAGGUCCAAUCUGGGAACCAGAAUGGUGUCAAAAUUAGUCGCCAUGACUCGAAUAGAAUAUUGCACAUUAGAAUCACUUUUUUUCUCCCAGUCCUAGCUGAUUAUUUGUACUAAAAGCAGACUUUGGGAGAAUGGAUCUGAAGCUUCGCACUCCACCUCUUCGAGAUGAGACGGUACAAUGGGAAAAGUUCUACAGGGAAUGUUUGGCAUCUAACAAGGGGGGAUGUGCAAUGAGAAACUUCCUCCUUGGAACUUGUUUACUCGCUGCUUCAAGCUGUGCCCCUUUCUAAUCUAAAAUCAAGAUAUAAAAUUUCAUUGAGGAUUUUUAAAAAAUCCAACUGUCCCACUUUGAUCAGAAAUGCAGAUUUUUUUAUUAAUUUCUCCCAAUUGCUACUUGUGUAACAACCUCAGUUUAAUUAGAUACUUUAAUGGUUUUCUAUAAUUUCUUCAUUUCAAAUAACUUUACAGUAAAAGUUCAUGAAUUAAGAUUUGUGAACUUUAAACAUCUUGUGUUUACCUUGAAAAUGAUCUCAAAUGUUGAAAAUUAAUUUCUGCUGCCAAUUUAGGUUGUUGAUCUGAUGGGGGAAUAAAAGCUGGAAAGUUUUAUUUCAAUGCACCAAAGCUUGCUGCAUAGAAGAUCCUUAGAGACGAGAUUAACCAAGUGAUUGCAUUGUUGAUAAUCUUCAUGCUUGCGUGUGUGUCACGUGAAAGAGCCUGUAUUUUUACUUGUAUGAAGAUGGGAAAAAUUCUAGAUUAUUCUGUAACAUCCUAGUCUUAGGUUCAGAAGGCGCAAAGAGUUGCAUAUAGAUAAUAGUAAAUUGCUUGUAAAUAUUUCUGCAGAUUUGUAAUAUAUUUUUAUACUUUAAAAUGUACUGUAGAUUUCAAUUUUGGUUUACCUUUUAGAAGCAUGGAAGCAAAUUUUGAAAUGUAUAUAUUACGGUAGAACAAAUGUUGAAGGAUAAUGUAAUUUUCUUGAGCUGCCAGAAUAACUGUUAACAAAAACCCCACAAAAAGCACCUUGCCUAAUUAUAAAUAUAAAGUGACAUUUGUGGUUUUCUGCAAAUGCCAAUUACUACUGCUAAUGUCUUAAUGUAUUGUGCAAGAUGUAAACAGCAUGACUUGGAUUGUGUCUUUAAACUUAGAUUUCCUGGACAGAGGCAGGCUUUUUAAAAAAGCCUGUAGUACCCUUGUUUCGCACAGUUGUAAACCCUUCAUACAAUGUAUCCUUACCUGAGCACUUCACCUGUAUCCACUGCUUCCCAUCCAAAUCAAGUUGCUACUGCUUUUUCAGCUGCAUUUUUAUAAUAAACUAUAAAAUGAAA